AAAAAAAAAAAAAAAAAACUUCUCUCUCUAUUACGGUUUCGCUAUCUAAAAUUUGGCAAUUGGUAAUUCAUUUUUCGUUUUUCUGGGAAAUUCCAACGCUCAAAUCACUAUCAUUUUGAUAAUACAAACACCAUGAAAGAAACCAGAAUAAAAAUCAAAGCCGUAGAAAUUAUCUUGUUUGAUAACUUAAAAUAAAAGAAAACAUUGUCAUUUGGAGUGUUGAUAAUUCCAUCAAUAGCCUGUCUAUGAUAUUGUGAUGCAGAUGUUUACAUUAAGAAAAAACAGGUCAUUGUUCAAAGUAUUGACCAAGAGCUAACAAAGGUAAAUAAGAAGCAUAGAUUAAAACAAAAGCUUUGGUCUAG
rnacentral:misc_RNA from 1 species